CCACCGCGGUUAUACGAGAGGCCCAAGUUGAAAGACCCUGGCGUAAAGAGUGGUUAAGCUAGAAUUUACACUAAAGCCGAACAUCCUCACGGCUGUUAUACGCACCCGAAGAUAAGAAGCCCAGCCACGAAGGUAGCUUUAUUUAACUGAACCCACGAAAGCUACGGCACAAACUGAGAUUAGAUACCUCACUAUGCCUAGCCCUAAACAUUGAUAGUAUACUACACCCGCUAUCCGCCUGGGAACUACGAGCAUCAGCUUAAAACCCAAAGGACUUGGCGGUGCUUUAGACCCACCUAGAGGAGCCUGUUCUAGAACCGAUAACCCCCGUUCAACCUCACCUUUCCUUGUUUUACCCGCCUAUAUACCGCCGUCGUCAGCUUACCCUGUGAAGGUUUAAUAGUAAGCAAAACUGGCUUAGCCCCAAACGUCAGGUCGAGGUGUAGCGAAUGGGAGGGGAAGAAAUGGGCUACAUUCGCUGCUACAGCGAACACGGACGAUGCACUGAAACGUUCAUCCGAAGGAGGAUUUAGCAGUAAGCAGGAAAUAGAGUGUUCCGCUGAAAUUGGCCCUGAAGCGCGCACACACCGCCCGUCACUCUCCCCAAGCCCACCAACUUAAUUAACUUAAACCCUAAUAAUCGCAAAGGGGAGGCAAGUCGUAACAUGGUAAGUG
rnacentral:rRNA from 1 species